UGUCACUUAUGAUGUCACAUGAACUGUGACAUCAUAAGUGACAUCACGGAACGUCGCCGAAAGUUUACUUAUAGAACCCCCGUUACGCCCAUCAAUCACAGAUCAAAAAACAAGUGUUUUUGGCCUCCGCUGUCGCAGACGAAGGACUAACCAGUCCUCCACUGUCAGCAGACGGAGGGUUGCUCGACGCAGACGCUAGGCAACGCCAUCAAACGUGCGGGCCUUCAAACAUGCCCGUGUCCACAAUGUAGGGGCAAACGAGAGUAGUCUUCACUCCUUCAACCUCGUCAGCCAGCAGCUCAUGUGCCAGAGACUCGUGGAAGCCCACUGCUGCAAACUUACUGGCACAGUAAUCCUGUCUCAAACAACAAAUCAAAACUUGUAUGGAAUAUUUAUAAAUUGAUUGUGAUUUUCCA